GGUGAGUAACACGUGGAUAACCUACCUAUAAGACUGGGAUAACUUCGGGAAACCGGAGCUAAUACCGGAUAAUAUAUUGAACCGCAUGGUUCAAUAGUGAAAGACGGUUUUGCUGUCACUUAUAGAUGGAUCCGCGCCGCAUUAGCUAGUUGGUAAGGUAACGGCUUACCAAGGCAACGAUGCGCAGCCGACCUGAGAGGGUGAUCGGCCACACUGGAACUGAGACACGGUCCAG
rnacentral:rRNA from 1 species